rnacentral:tRNA from 1 species
GGCGUGUUAGCUUAAUUGGUAAAGCAAGGUGCUACGGACACAAAGAGUACAGGUUCAAAUCUUGUACACGUCU